GACGAACCGUCCUAACGUUGUUCGGAAUCACUGGGCUUAAAGGGCGCGUAGGCGGGUCACAAAGUCCGGGGUGAAAUCUUUCGGCUCAACCGGAAAAUAGCCUUGGAUACUGGUGAUCUCGAGGGUGGUAGGGGCAUGUGGAACUUCCGGUGGAGCGGUGAAAUGUGUUGAUAUCGGAAGGAACGCCGGUGGCGAAAGCGACGUGCUGGACCACUACUGACGCUGAGGCGCGAAAGCCAGGGGAGCAAACGGG
rnacentral:rRNA from 1 species